UGGAGAGAGGAGGGAAGCGAGAAAGUGAGGAAGAGAUAGACAGAGGGAAGGAGGGAAUAAGGAGAGGGAGAUAGGGUGAGAAUGAGAGAACGUGGGAUUGAGAGAGGGAAAGAUAGAGUAAGGGAGAGGCAGCGAUAUCCCUUUCAAUCUAUCUCUUUAUUUAUCACACUCUCUUUUACCCCUAUCCAUUGUCAUCUUUCGUUCUCUUCUCCUCCCUCAUUGCUUUUCUUCUCAUAUAUUUAAUUCGUGAAGGAAUUCACAGAAACAAGUGAACCAAGAGAGCCUGCAAAAACGACCGUCGUAAGAGUGAGGCGGAGCACUAUGAGUGGAGGAAUUUGGUCUGUGACUGAUGAAACUAGGAGGCGAAAGACAUAGUUUCACGUUUUUUAGGAAGAAGAUGAUGAAAAUGGAUCGAAGAAACUGGAUUGGAGAAGGAGGUAGUUGUUUCUCUCUUGGAAGGAAGAAGAUGAUGAUCAGAUGAAAUUAUGGUUUCUUGGGCUUGGGUUAGCUUGCAGGACUAUAUUAAUAUUGGGCUUUGGCUUGGGUUAAUAAAGUUGGACUAGAAAAUUGCUCUUCUCCUAUCAAAAAACACUCAUGCUCAACUGAACAGGCCAAAGUACCCCGCGUGACUUAAGUCACGCUCGGUACUUUCAUCGUGAGUUAACUCAUAGAGGUUGUAAACCUAGCGUGACUUAACUCAUGCUACGUUCUGUUAUACAACAGCAAUUCAGAAACAUAACGAUUCAUUUUUCAAAAGUUCCAAAUACGAUUUUUCUCCCAUCAAGUGCGAUUUUCUUCAUUCUUGCGCCAAUGAAACUCAAUUUCAACCAUAAAAUCAAAUAUGUCUCAGAGGCCUAAUAGAGUUAGGGGAGGGAGGGAGUCUACUACCGGUAGUGCAUAGAGAGAAAAGGUCGCACAACACCCUCCUCAGGCAGGUCGACGGAGACAAGGGCACGAGGAUUGGUAAGUGUGAUGAUGUAAAGGGAUCAUCGUCACAGGCGGAUGCGUGCCAGAUAGUGGACCCGACGUAUUAUCAGCAUCAGCAUCAGGCAUAUCAGCCUCAAUAUGAGCAGACUCACCAGCAGGAGGGUGAGGCCUGUGGUGAGGCUCAGAAGGAGUAGAGGAUAGAGUUCCAGCCCGAACCGCAGUGCUUUCCUAGGGGGCCUAGUGAUUUGUCGCAUCUACCUAAGUUCAGUAAACACGUUGCAGGCAGCAAGAUAUGGGUCGAUGAUGAAUUCAAAUGUCCCAUAAGGUGACCGGUGUUUGGCAUGGGAAGAAGCUUAGUCAUAAUACCUUGAUGGUGCCGGAAGAAGGAAAAAAAUGGUUCUAGACGCCGGUGAAUGCAUCCGGUUUUGCCCCUUCCUUAAGACUAGGUACGACAACAUCACUCACGGGCUAAUUUGUGUUUUAUCAGAGAGAUGGAAUAAGGAGACCAACAGCUUCUACAUGCUUGUUGGGAGAUGGCCGUCACACUAGAUGAUGUGGCAUAUCUUCUGGACAUCCUCAUCACUAGUAGGCUCAUUGAGCAGGAGGAUCAAACUUAUGAGUAUGACAUAUUUUUGCUGGAGAAUGAGUUGGGUUUUACGACGCAAGAAGCGAUGAAAGAGGUGAAAGAUCAGCGGGGUCUUUAUGUAAGUUACACUCACCUGAAGAGGUGUUAUGAAAGCAUGUUGAAUAGGUGUAAUCAGUUGGAGGAGCCUGCAUCAGACGAGGAGGAGGAGGAGCAGAGUGUUGUUAGGACCACCUGCAUUAAGGUGUUUUUGCUGCUCUUGCUUGGCUACACCGUUUUUGCCAGCAAGAACAACAAAAGCGUUAAUCUGCUAUGGCUGUUUGCGCUUUAGGACUUGGACAGGUUGGGUGACUGGUCAUGGGGCGGGAUGACACUUUCUUUCCUGUAUGAGCUAUUUUGUCUUACCUCUGACUCGGUUGUUAAAGCCACUGGUGGUUACAUGACCUUGCUAGUGGAUGAGUUUUGAAGCACUUCAAGAAGAUCGUUCUGAGGAAGCCUAAGCCAGAGUACAAGCCUGGGUAAUUGGAAACCUCCUAGGGGCUAUGCUGAUGUUGGACACUACAGAUGCCUCCUUAAUUUGAUGUUGAAUGCUAAUGUCAUCUGGAGGUCGUAUGAGACUCGGCAAGACCUGACGCCUUUUCGAGACAUAUGCUGAUACUCAAGAUGGAUUAUGGCCGACAAAGACAGGAUGUGUCGUCACUUUCCAGAGCGGGUUCUGAGGCAAUACGACUAUAUCCAAACCAUUCUCAGACCUCCUGCGACGAUUCUUGAGUCAGAGUAUGUGGUUAUCGCCUUCACGGAUUUUUCUAUCCAUGUCCUUAGCCAGCAGGAGAGGGAUCAUUCGGUCCCAGAGGACGAGGUGUGGAAGUAUGUGAUGAGGUACAUCAAAUGGUUCUACUGUGUAUCUCAUCAUAUGUUCCGCGAGCCUGCGCCUAUUGUUGAGUACACAACUCCUAUCCCUCCUUACAAGGAAGUUAUUGUAAAGCAGCAGUGAGCUAGACAGCUUCCCGACCCACUCCAGAUCAUCGACAACAUCAGGCGCAAAGUGGAUAGUGCUAUGGAGAUUCCUGAUAUGUUUUCAAAUCCUCUUGUUGUCGGCAUUAUGGAGAGCAUACAGUCCAAGUAUAGCAUUCUGCAGGAGGUGGCAGUUUCGCAGAGAAGGACUAUGAGUCAUAGUGCAUAGGAGGAGUAGGGUCUUGUUCUAGUGUUUUUAGGACAUUUGUAUAUUUUUAAAUGUUUUUGUGACAUUUCGGGGGAUUUAUGACAUUUUGAUUAGU